rnacentral:rRNA from 1 species
CUACGGGCGGCAGCAGUGGGGAAUAUUGGACAAUGGGGGAAACCCUGAUCCAGCAAUGCCGCGUGUGUGAAGAAGGCCUGCGGGUUGUAAAGCACUUUCGGUUGGGAGGACUGCUUCUAGCACUAAUAUUGUUGGAAGUUGACGUUACCUUCAGAAGAAGCACCGGCUAACUCCGUGCCAGCAGCCGCGGUAAUACGGAGGGUGCAAACGUUAAUCGGAAUUACUGGGCGUAAAGCGCGCGUAGGCGGCUAGAUCAGUCGGGUGUGAAAGCCCCGGGCUUAACCUGGGAACUGCAUCCGAUACUGUCUAGCUUGAGUAAAGGAGAGGAGAGUGGAAUUCCACAUGUAGCGGUGAAAUGCGUAGAUAUGUGGAGGAACACCAAUGGCGAAAGCAGCUCUCUGGCCUGAUACUGACGCUGAGGUGCGAAAGCGUGGGGAGCAAACAGGAUUAGAUACCCUCGUAGUC